rnacentral:rRNA from 1 species
GACGAACGCUGGCGGCGUGCUUAACACAUGCAAGUCGAACGGAAAGGCCCUGCUUUUGUGGGGUGCUCGAGUGGCGAACGGGUGAGUAACACGUGAGUAACCUGCCCUUGACUUUGGGAUAACUUCAGGAAACUGGGGCUAAUACCGGAUAGGAGCUCCUGCUGCAUGGUGGGGGUUGGAAAGUUUCGGCGGUUGGGGAUGGACUCGCGGCUUAUCAGCUUGUUGGUGGGGUAGUGGCUUACCAAGGCUUUGACGGGUAGCCGGCCUGAGAGGGUGACCGGCCACAUUGGGACUGAGAUACGGCCCAGACUCCUACGAGAGGCAGCAGUGGGGAAUAUUGCACAAUGGGCGGAAGCCUGAUGCAGCAACGCCGCGUGCGGGAUGACGGCCUUCGGGUUGUAAACCGCUUUCGCCUGUGACGAAGCGUGAGUGACGGUAAUGGGUAAGGAAGCACCGGCUAACUACGUG